rnacentral:rRNA from 1 species
GAUGAACGCUAGCGGCAGGCUUAACACAUGCAAGUCGAGGGGUAUAGUUCUUCGGAACUAGAGACCGGCGCACGGGUGCGUAACGCGUAUGCAAUCUACCUUUCACAGAGGGAUAGCCCAGAGAAAUUUGGAUUAAUACCUCAUAGUAUUAUAGAAUGGCAUCAUUUUAUAAUUAAAGUCACAACGGUGAAAGAUGAGCAUGCGUCCCAUUAGCAGAUGGUAAGGUAACGCUUACCAUGGCUACGAUGGGUAGGGGUCCUGAGAGGGAGAU